AUUGAACGCUGGCGGCAUGGCUAAAACAUGCAAGUCGAACGUGUGCAGCAAUGCAUAAGUGGCGAAAGGGUCGGUAAUGCGAUCGAACGUACCCUGAGGUGGAGGAUAGGGCGGGGAAACUCGCCAUAAUACUCCAUGAUGUCCUCGGACCAAAGGUUUACCGCCUUGGGAGCGGCGAUCGUCCUAUCAGGUAGUUGGUGAGGUAAAGGCUCACCAAGCCGAAGACGGGAGCAGGUGUGAGAGCACGACCUGCGACAUCGGGACUGAGACACUGCCCGGACUUCUACGGAAGGCUGCAGUAACGAAUCUUCCGCAAUGGGCGAAAGCCUGACGGAGCAAUGCCGCGUGUGGGAUGAAGCGGCUACGCCGUGUAAACCACUGUCAGGGGGUAGGAACAAUGACCGCCCCAA
rnacentral:rRNA from 1 species